rnacentral:misc_RNA from 1 species
CUACCCUGGAGCCCUGCUCUGCGAUGGGCCCCGUCCCUACGGACGGGCCCGAAACCCGUGGGCGCCGUCGUCUGGCCCUGAGCGUAGCAAGAGAAAUCCCUCGCUCGGAGUGUCUUGCGGCGGCCGCCCCGACCCAUUUUACAA